rnacentral:rRNA from 1 species
CAAAAGAGAUUGCGCAAGUAGCGGCGAGCGAACGCGCAGGAGCCUAAACCCUUAUGUAGGGUGUUGCAGGGCCGCACGGGGAUGACCCGUGGAGUUGGUGAGAAAACCGAUAUGUAGCGGAAGCGUCUGGAAAGGCGCGCGAGACAGCGUGAAAGCCGCGUAUGCGAAAGAUAUCGGACUCCAUGGUGCGGUACCUAAGUAGGGCGGGGCACGAGAAACCCUGUUUGAAUCCGGGUCGACCACGAUCCAAGGCUAAAUACGAGACAGCUACCGACAGCGAAGAGUACCGUGAGGGAACGGCGAAAAGAACCCCGGUGAGGGGAGUGAAAGAGAACCUGAAACCGCAAACCGACAAGAUGUCACGGCGCGCGAGCGUUGUGGCGUGUCUUUUGUAGAAUAAACCUGCGAGUUGCGAUGCGCGGCGAGGCUAAGGGUUGGGAGAUCCGGAGCCGGAGCGAAAGCGAGUGUGAAAAGUGCGAAAAGUCGCGUGUCGCAGACCCGAAGCCAAGGUGAUCUAAUUAUGGGCAGGCUGAAGGCAGGGUGAAACCUGUUGGAGGGCCGAACAGUAAUCUGUUAAAAAAGGUAGUGAUGACCUGUGAUUAGGAGUGAAAGGCUAAACAAACCUGGAAAUAGCUGGCUCUCCCCGAAAUGCCUUUAGGGACAGCCUCAUGCAAAGCGGAAGGAGGUAAAGCACCGGAUGGGAUAGGGGGCGUCACAGUCUACCGACACCAAUCGAACUCAGAAUGCCAUCCGCCAACGCAUGGGAGUGAGACUGUGUGCUCCAAGGUUCAUAGUCGAGAGGGAAACAGCCCGGACCGACGGCAAAGGUCCCGAAAUAACGCUCAGUGUGAAAUGAGGUGCGUCUGCACAGACAGCCAGGAGGUUGGCUUAGAAGCAGCCAUUCCUUAAAAGAGUGCGUAACAGCUCACUGGUCGAGCAGGCGUGCGCAGACAAUGUAACGGGGCUAAGCGUUAUACCGAAGCCGCGGGUCCGCAUUGUAAGAUGCGGGCGGUAGGGGAGCAUUGCGCUAACCGGAGAAGGCGUACCUGUGAGGGGCGCUGGAGGAAGCGGAAGAGAGAAUGCAGGCACAAGUAACGAAAAGACGGGUGAGAUUCCCGUCCGCCGAAAGCCUGAGGAUUCCCGGGUAAAGGCAAUCUGCCCGGGGUAAGUCGGCCCCUAAGGCGAGGACGAAAGUCGUAGUCGAUGGGAAAUCGGUUCAAAAUCCGAUACCCGGCUCAGUUUUGAAGGCAGGACGCAUGAGGUGAAAUCCGGCAGGAGAACGGUAGAUUCUGUCCAAGCGGUAAGGUGUUGAGAGGGCGGUUAAAAGAGCCCUUGAGCUGAGCCGUUACGGGGAGCGGAGCGCAGGCGAAGCGAAGCGGACGUAAUCAAGGUGCCGGGAAAUACUGUCUAAAGUUAGGCUGAGUCGGACCGUACCGGAAACGGACACACGCAGGCAGGAUGAGUAAUCUAAGGCGCACGAGCGACCCCGCGUUAAGGAACUCGGCAAAAAGCACACGUAACUUCGGAAGAAGUGUGGCUCACGCUGAUAAGGAUGUGAGCGGCAGAAAGCAGGCCCAGGCGACUGUUUACCAAAAACACAGCCAUCUGCGAACCGGCAACGGGACGUAUAGGUGGUGACACCUGCCCGGUACCGGAAGGUUAAGGGGAGGGGUUAGCAGGAAUGCGAAGCUCCGAACCGAAGCCCCGGCAAACGGCGGCCGUAACUAUAACGGUCCUAAGGUAGCGAAAUUCCUUGUCGGGUA